UACGUAGGGUGCAAGCGUUAAUCGGAAUUACUGGGCGUAAAGCGUGCGUAGGCGGUUCUCCAAGUCCGUUGUGAAAUCCCCGGGCUUAACCUGGGAAUGGCAGUGGAAACUAGGGGACUUGAAUUUGGCAGAGGGGGGUGGAAUUCCACGUGUAGCAGUGAAAUGCGUAGAGAUGAUGGAGGAACACCGAUGGCGAAGGCAGCCCCCUGGGCUGAGAUUGACGCUGAGUGCACGAAAGCGUGGGGAGCAAACAGG
rnacentral:rRNA from 1 species